rnacentral:rRNA from 1 species
GAUUAACGCUGGCGGCGUGCCUAACACAUGCAAGUCGAGCGGCAGCGCGCUUUUCACUGAAUUCUGGAGGCUUCCAGUUGAAAGAGAAGAUUUAUUCUAGAAUUUUCUGUAAAUUGUCGGCGAGCGGCGGACGGCUGAGUAACGCGUGAGAACGUACCCCAAAGCGAGGGAUGCCGCAGCGAAUGGUGUCCUAUUACCGUAUAUGGGCUGCGGAUUAACGCGUUCGGGCGCUAUGGGAACGGCCUGCGUAAGAUUAGAUGGGUGGUAGGGUAAUUGCCUACCAAGUCGACGUACGUGACCUGGUUUGAGAGGAUGAUCAGUCAGACUGGAGAUGAGGCACAGUCCAGACUCCUAGGGAAGGGAGCAGAGAAGUAUCCACCACAAUGGAGGAAAGCCUGAUGGCGCAACGCCGGGGACAGGAUGAAGGCGUUCGGGUUGUGAACUGCUUUUAUAAGUGGCGAUUAUGACGGUAACUUAUGAAUAAGGACCGGCUAACUACGUG